GACAGAGGUGCCGAGCGUUAGGCGGAAUCACUGGGCUUAAAGCGUGUGUAGGCGGACUUCUAAGUACCUUGUGAAAUCCCACGGCUCAACCGUGGAACUGCUUGGUAUACUGGUCGUCUUGAGCCAUCUAGGGGCUGUCGGAACAAAUGGUGGAGCGGUGAAAUGCGUAGAGUAUCAUUUGGAACGCCAAAGGUGAAAACAGACAGCUGGGGAUGUGCUGACGCUGAGACACGAAAGCCAGGGGAGCGAACGGG
rnacentral:rRNA from 1 species